UACGUAGGGUGCGAGCGUUGUCCGGAUUUAUUGGGCGUAAAGGGUGCGUAGGCGGCGCGACAAGUUGGGUGUGAAAUCCCUCGGCUCAACCGAGGAACUGCGCCCAAAACUGUCGUGCUCGAGGGAGACAGAGGUGAGCGGAACUUAGGGUGGAGCGGUGAAAUGCGUUGAUAUCCUAAGGAACACCGGUGGCGAAAGCGGCUCACUGGGUCUCUUCUGACGCUGAGGCACGAAAGCUAGGGUAGCGAACGGG
rnacentral:rRNA from 1 species